rnacentral:rRNA from 1 species
GCUUACGGCCACACCACCCUGAACACGCCCGAUCUCGUCCGAUCUCGGAAGCUAAGCAGGGCCGGGCCUGGUUAGUACUUGGAUGGAGACCGCCUGGGAAUACCAGGUGCUGUAAGUU